AGCGAGCGCUGGCGGCAGGCCUAACACAUGCAAGUCGAACGAACUCUUCGGAGUUAGUGGCGGACGGGUGAGUAACACGUGGGAACGUGCCUUUAGGUUCGGAAUAACUCAGGGAAACUUGUGCUAAUACCGAAUGUGCCCUUCGGGGGAAAGAUUUAUCGCCUUUAGAGCGGCCCGCGUCUGAUUAGCUAGUUGGUGAGGUAAAGGCUAACCAAGGCGACGAUCAGUAGCUGGUCUGAGAGGAUGAUCAGCCACAUUGGGACUGAGACACGGCCCAAACUCCUACGGGAGGCAGCAGUGGGGAAUCUUGCGCGAUGGGCGAAAGCCUGACGCAGCCAUGCCGCGUGAAUGAUGAAGGUCUUAGGAUUGUAAAAUUCUUUCACCGGGGACGAUAAUGACGGUACCCGGAGAAGAAGCCCCGGCUAACUUCGUGCCAGCCGCCGCCGUAA
rnacentral:rRNA from 1 species